GACGAACGCUGGCGGCGUGCUUAACACAUGCAAGUCGAACGGGAAGGCCCUGCUUUUGUGGGGUGCUCGAGUGGCGAACGGGUGAGUAACACGUGAGUAACCUGCCCUUGACUUUGGGAUAACUUCAGGAAACUGGGGCUAAUACCAGAUAGGAGCUCCUGCUGCAUGGUGGGGGUUGGAAAGUUUCGGCGGUUGGGGAUGGACUCGCGGCUUAUCAGCUUGUUGGUGGGGUAGUGGCUUACCAAGGCUUUGACGGGUAGCCGGCCUGAGAGGGUGACCGGCGACAUGGGGACUGCGAUAGGGCCCAGACUGCUACGGGAGGCAGCAGUGGGGAAUAUUGCACAAUGGGCGGAAGCCUGAUGCAGCAACGCCGGGGGCGGGAUGACGGCCUUCGGGUUGUAAACCGCUUUCGCCUGUGACGAAGCGUGAGUGACGGUAAUGGGUAAAGAAGCACCGGCUAACUACGUG
rnacentral:rRNA from 1 species